rnacentral:rRNA from 1 species
UACGUAGGGGGCUAGCGUUGUUCGGAAUUACUGGGCGUAAAGGGCGCGUAGGCGGCUCUGCCAGUUGCGUGUGAAAGCCCCGGGCUCAACCUGGGAAUGGCGCGCAAGACGGCGGGGCUGGAGUUCGGGAGAGGAGCGUGGAAUUCCCAGUGUAGAGGUGAAAUUCGUAGAUAUUGGGAAGAACACCGGUGGCGAAGGCGGCGCUCUGGACCGAGACUGACGCUGAGGCGCGAAAGCGUGGGGAGCAAACAGG